GCCCGUUUAUGGAAGUAGACAAUGACUAUCCUGUCAAGUGCUCAAAACUCGUCCAUAAGAAAAAAUCAAGGACAAUAUUUGAGGAUGUUUCGGUUCCGCAUGUUGUGUCAGUGACGGAGAAAAAAAGAGAGACCCUGUUAGAUAAGGAUCAUCAGCAAAAACCUUCAGCUUUUCAAUUUCUCAAGCCUGAUCAUUCUUCACUGCCCAUCGAGGAGAACAUGCAUGAUUAUGAAACUGUUUCAUCUCGAAAAGAUGAGAUAGAGGCGAUUCCAAUUACUAAAACAGAAUUUUAUCAGGAGACGAAAUAUGGAAGUCAGCAGGAUCCUCCUAGUCGUGCGGUGUCAAGUCUGCUGGCUCCUCCUUUGGUAUUUUUUCCUCAUAUGUCCCCUGAGGUUCAGCAACAAGCUAGAGUUCGGAGUGCAGAAAAACCUGAAGUACAGCUGCAAGCAAGAGUUGGGAGUUCA
rnacentral:misc_RNA from 1 species